GCCCAGACGACGUUGAAAUCAAUGACGUAUAUUAUCCGGAGGAAGGGUGUAUGGUGUGCAACUGUACAGGAGGACUUGACUUUUCAACUAUGCCGCCAAAUGUCAUAAAAGUUGGACCGUGUUACUCGUGCGGUGCAGUAUAUAUUGAGAACUGCUCCGAAACGGAGCAAGUCAACCCCGAUGCAAACUACCCGGGUUGUUGUGAGAGAAGGUGUAAAACUUAGUAAGCCCAGAACGGAUUUCUUUAUUUUGUUGAGAAGAGUCUAUAGUUGUGCUUUAGAUUCGUUAAAAUAAAUUCUCUGAAUGAAUAAAUUGAAUUAAUUAUGAUAAUGA
rnacentral:lncRNA from 1 species